UGAGCCGGGACGGCUGAGAAGCAGAAAGACUUUACAUACUGCAUUCAAAUCCGUCAACAGCGGAACCAUAGCUUGAAAUUGAAGACUUUUCUUGUGUUCCUGUAGAUUCCCCGAAGGAUACCCAGGCCUCCGUCAGCCCCCCCACGGUGUCGCUGGGCAGUGUGGUCAACCUGACGUGCACCAGCAGAGCCAACCCCCCCGUUCUCCGGUUCACCUGGUUCAGGAGCAGUGCGGAGGGACCCCUGAACGUGUCAGAUGGAUCUGUGUACAGCUUCAAUGUGUCCAGCUACAGAGACAUCUACUACUGCGUGGCCACGAAUCCCUUGGGAAACCAAACAUCAAAAGAGAUUACGCUACCCAUCAGCGGUAAAUCAACUUCUACCCAUAGACCCCAUAAAAUACUUUAAUGUAACAAAUAUCCCAAAUAUAUCCCUACAAUCUCUAAAUGGAUAAUGAUAAUGCCCCAGUGAUCUGCAUUGUUUUUUCUCCUCCAGAAUUGAAUGUCCCUCUGAUAAUUGGUGGAUUCUUUGGUACCAUCUUCUUUAUUGGUCUGAUCAUCUCUGUCCUGUGGUUACUGAAGAAACCUUCAACACAGCAACAGGUCACGUAUUCAUGUAUCAAUGCUCAAAAUCCAAUAUGUGAGGCGCCAGACAAGCAGGAGGAAGAGGAGAUCCACUAUGGAGAGAUCGACUUUGCCAAGCGAGGUGCUGUGCAGAACCCAGGCCGGGUGUUCCCCCAGGGGGAGGAGCAGACCUCAGAAUACGUUGAGAUCACUGCUCAACAGGCUAAGAACUCACAGAUCAGGGCUGAACUGGAGAGGAGCUGA
rnacentral:lncRNA from 1 species